rnacentral:rRNA from 1 species
GACGCCCUACGGGGGGCAGCAGUGAGGGAUAUUGGUCAAUGGGGGAAACCCUGAACCAGCAACGCCGCGUGAGGGAAGACGGUUUUCGGAUUGUAAACCUCUGUCCUCUGUGAAUCUAAUGACGGUAGCAGAGGAGGAAGCUCCGGCUAACUACGUGCCAGCAGCCGCGGUAAUACGUAGGGAGCAAGCGUUGUCCGACUUUACUGGGUGUAAAGGGUGCGUAGGCGGGCUUGCAAGUCAGAAGUGAAAUCUAUGGGCUUAACCCAUAAACUGCUUUUGAAACUGUAAGUCUUGAGUGCAGUAGG